AUUGAACGCUGGCGGCAGGCCUAACACAUGCAAGUCGAGCGGAGCGGCGGACGGGUGAGUAAUGCCUAGGAAUCUGCCUGGUCGUGGGGGAUAACGUCCGGAAACGGGCGCUAAUACCGCAUCCUAUCCCCUUCGCCUAGGUCUGGGUAGCUAGUUGGUGGGGUAAGGCCUACCAGGGCGACGCUCCGUAACUGGUCUGAGAGGAUGAUCAGUCACACUGGAACUGAGACACGGUCCAGACUCCUACGGGAGGCAGCAGUGGGGAAUAUUGGACAAUGGGCGAAAGCCUGAUGCAGCCAUGCCGCGUGUGUGAAGAAGGUCUUCGGAUUGUAAAGAACUUUAAGUUGGGAGGCGUUACCAACAGAAUAAGCACCGGCUAACUUCGUGCCAGCAGCCGCGGUAAUUC
rnacentral:rRNA from 1 species